CGCCACGCCCAGCGCUCGGCGGCUCCCGUCCCACUGGCCUGGCCCGCCCCCCGCACCGAGCGCUCUUUCGCCCGGCCUCCGGUUCUCGCCGGCUCUCGGGCCCGCCUCUGAAGACGUGGAGCGCUGCGGCGGCCGCAUAUUUGUCAAAGAUGAAAAUGACCUUUUCAGCUUUGGAUACUUCUGAGAGUUCUUUCACACCUUUGGUGGUCAUAGAACUUGCUCAGGAUGUCAAAGAAGAAACCAAAGAAUGGCUGAAAAACAGAAUUAUAGCUAAAAAAAAAGAUGGAGGUGCCCAGUUGUUGUUUAGACCAUUGUUAAAUAAAUAUGAACAAGAAACACUAGAAAAUCAGAACUUAUAUCUUGUUGGUGCCUCCAAGAUUAGAAUGUUACUGGGGGCAGAAGCAGUGGGAUUGGUAAAAGAGUGCAAUGAUAAUACCAUGAGAGCCUUCACAUACAGAACCAGACAGAACUUCAAAGGUUUUGAUGAUAACAAUGAUGAUUUCCUGACAAUGGCAGAAUGUCAAUUCAUUAUCAAACAUGAACUUGAAAAUCUUAGAGCUAAAGAUGAAAAAAUGAUCCCUGGCUACCCUCAGGCAAAGUUGUAUCCAGGAAAAUCAUUGUUGAGAAGAUUGCUCACGUCUGGCAUCGUGAUUCAAGUGUUUCCCCUGCAUGACAGUGAAGCCCUGAAGAAGCUUGAGGACACCUGGUACACUCGGUUUGCUUUCAAGUAUCAGCCCAUAGACAGUAUUCGUGGAUACUUCGGAGAAACAAUUGCUCUGUACUUUGGAUUUUUGGAAUAUUUCACUUUUGCAUUAAUCCCCAUGGCUGUCAUUGGGUUACCUUACUACUUGUUUGUGUGGGAAGACUAUGACAAGUACGUGAUCUUUGCCUCUUUCAACCUGAUCUGGUCCACGGUGAUUCUGGAAGUGUGGAAGCGUGGCUGUGCCAACAUGACCUACAGGUGGGGGACAUUGCUCAUGAAGAGAAAAUUUGAGGAGCCCCGGCCGGGAUUUCAUGGUGUCUUGGGUAUCAAUUCCAUCACUGGGAAGGAGGAGCCUCUGUACCCCAGCUACAAGAGACAGUUGCGCAUUUACCUGGUCUCCCUGCCAUUCGUGUGCCUCUGCCUCUAUUUCUCACUGUAUGUCAUGAUGAUUUACUUCGACAUGGAGGUUUGGGCCUUGGGUCUACAUGAGAACAGCGAGUCUGAGUGGACCAGUGUCCUGUUGUAUGUGCCCAGCAUCAUCUAUGCCAUUGUGAUUGAGAUCAUGAAUCGUCUCUAUCGAUAUGCUGCCGAGUUUUUAACUUCAUGGGAGAAUCACAGAUUGGAAUCUGCCUAUCAGAACCAUCUAAUUCUGAAAGUUUUAGUGUUCAACUUUCUCAAUUGCUUUGCCUCACUCUUCUACAUUGCCUUUGUCCUGAAAGAUAUGAAGCUUUUGCGCCAGAGCUUGGCCACUCUCCUGAUUACUUCCCAGAUCCUCAACCAAAUUAUGGAAUCUUUUCUUCCUUAUUGGCUCCAAAGGAAGCAUGGUGUGCGGGUGAAGAGGAAGCUGCAGGCUUUAAAGGCAGACAUUGAUGCUGCAUUAUAUGAACAAGUCAUCCUGGAAAAAGAAAUGGGAACUUAUUUGGGCACCUUUGAUGAUUACUUGGAGUUAUUCCUGCAGUUUGGUUAUGUGAGCCUUUUCUCCUGUGUUUACCCAUUAGCAGCUGCCUUUGCUGUGUUAAAUAACUUCACUGAAGUCAAUUCAGAUGCCUUAAAAAUGUGCAGGGUCUUCAAACGUCCAUUCUCAGAACCUUCAGCCAAUAUUGGUGUGUGGCAGUUGGCUUUUGAAACGAUGAGUGUUAUAUCUGUGGUCACUAACUGUGCGCUGAUUGGAAUGUCACCACAAGUGAAUUCAGUCUUUCCAGAAUCAAAAGCAGACCUCAUUUUGAUUGUAGUAGCAGUGGAGAUGCUUGCUUCCUCUUCACCUUCUGCCACGAUUGUAAGUUUCCUGAGGCCUCCCCAGCCAUGCAGAACUCACGCACUCCUGGCUUUAAAGUUUAUACUUGCAUUUGCCAUACCUGAUAAGCCACGGCAUAUCCAAAUGAAACUAGCCAGAUUGGAAUUUGAGUCUUUGGAGGCUCUCAAGCAGCAGGCUUUGCUGCAUGGCUGACACUGCUACAUGGGCCACCCAAGUUUAUGCCGCCAACCAGGAGAGACAAACAUUUUCAUCACAAUUCCUGUUUAGUCUCACUGCCCAGGAGGUCCUAGAAGCAAAUGAAGCUCGUGACCGAGAACCUGAAGGAGGAACCAAAGGAAAGCGGGAAGGAGAAGGCAACCUGAGUGCCCAGCUGCCCUGUUGGCAGAGGCCUGUGUCUGUGCCACACCUGCCACAGUGGCGGGGUGGGGGGGAGGUACCCGGGGCAGCAUCGUGGCUCCUGAACCCAGACCCAAUGCUUAGCCAAAUGAAGCGGCUCCCAUGUGGCAAGCACCCUUCUCAGUUCCGCAGUGGCUAGGCUCAGGAUCCUUGGCAGUUCCUGGCAGUUCCCCCAGCCCCGCCCUGUCUGCUCCUUCCCAGUUCCUUCCCGGGCCCCACACACUGCUCCAGCUGCCAACUUUGCUGCAGAGCCACUGCCGCCCUUGAGCCUCUCACCAUGAGUGAGCCACCAGCUCUCCACAUUCCCCUCACAGCAGUGUCACUCCCGACCCCACCAUGGCCCAGGGACCCGUGGACAGGUUGGGGAUGGGGUGUGUGCCCACUGUGCUCAUCACAGGAGCCUCAGUUGAGAGUGAGCAGGGUACAGUAAGGCAGCACUUCCCACACUGGACCUCUUUCCUGGUUCUCUUUUGCAAUACGUUAGCAGACCCUUUAUCAACAUAAACAAUAGUAACUGAGCUAUUAAAGGCAACCUCUCUGA